rnacentral:lncRNA from 1 species
GUAAACAUUAAUGCAAAGUCUUCUUUAAGUAAUAAAAGAAUUUACACAGUACUUGAAUAUUCUUCACGUUUGACAAUUAGAGGAUUAUGCAACUACAUUUCUUUUCUUAAAUAUUAAAUUUCUUCCAAUGAAAUGAUCUAACCAAUCAACAAAUCUUUCUCUACAUUGUACCUACCUAGACAUGGCUCAUUUAUUUCACUAGAAGUCAUCCAGGCUGGAGUGCAGUGGUGCAAUCUCAGUUCAUUGCAACCUCAGCCUCCUGGGUUCAAGUGAUU